GACGUAGGGGGCAAGCGUUGUCCGGAGUUACUGGGCGUAAAGCGCACGCAGGCGGUCUUUUAAGUUUGGAGUGACAGUUGGUGGCUUAACUGCCAAAGUGCUUCGAAAACUGAAAGACUUGAGGGCUUCAGAGGGACACGGAAUUCCGGGUGGAGUGGUGAAAUGCGUAGAUAUGCGGAGGAACACCGAUGGCGAAGGCAAUCCCCUGGACCUGUACUGACGCUCAUGCACGAAAGCGUGGGGAGCAAACAGG
rnacentral:rRNA from 1 species